CUGGCAAUCAGAAGUUUGCCGGUUCAAGUCCCAAAAAUGGCAGAAGUGACCCACCUCUGUUGGGCCCUGGAGCAAGGCCCUUAACCCGCAACUGCUUCAUCCUGGGUUGUGGAACCAGAGCACCCAGAGGAAACACAUGCCUACAUGGAGAACAUGCAAUUUCCACACAAGAAGUAACUGGAAGCUAAACCCUUAGUGUGAGGCAGCAGCACUAACCAGUGCACCACCUGGCAAGGGUUUACCACCAUUGCUUGCAGAGAUCUUAUCACCAUCAAAAUCGACUUCCACUUCCACC